UUUAAUUAAUUGAUUCUGAAUAAUUAAUUAAGGUAACAAAAGCUGUUCAUCGUUCAAGCUUCUUUCUAGCAGCCAUACGACCAGUCCACAUCCUCGACAUCUACUAGUCGCAAAUCAAAUAGUACACGCUCAAAUUUUGAAGUGAGUUCUCACACAUAAGCAAAAGAUAAAUAUCAAAGGAGCUAUUCUCAGAGGGGAAAAUUUUUCAAUUUCUUCUUCAAUUUCGUGGGUUAUUGCAUCUAAUAUUUGCCCUAAUCGUGAAUUUGAGGUUCUAUAGGGAUGGGUCGAGGAUAAGGGCUUAAAUACUCCACCAUGUCUAUUAUUCAAGGAAUGGAAACCAUUGGUAUGAAAUACACUCAAGAAUUUGAAACAAGUGCUAUAAGAAAGGGACUAGAGCAAAGACCUAAUUUUUAAGCUCCUCUUUAGGGAUUUCUGAAAAAAAGGUGGAAUCUUUAAACAAGAGAACCCUUUGUGCUAACCAACAUGUGUGAACACCAUCUAAAAUCACAAGUUCAGGUUCUACCAUGCCUUUUAGUCAACAAAUGUGAAGAAUCGACAAAAUAUUCCUUGAUUAUUGACAAAGAGAAUAUGCAAGCCAAAAUUUCAUUGCUUCCAUCUGUUGAUCAAGUCAUGCAACACACUCAAAAUGUUGAAAAAGGCUCGGAUGAGAUGGAGAAGACUUUCAAGGUGAUGCAUGUUAUAUUAUGAAGCCAUCAGGCAAUCAUCAUUCUCAGGAAAGCAGUGGUCCUAAGGCGCAAGGCCCAAUUUAAAGCUAGUAGAGCUCAGUCAUAUACAUUGAGAUUUUCCUUCAACUAGGGUUUCCACUAGAUAUAAUAAAGUUUUGGUUGCCACUUCUUCAACUCCAACAUCAAAGGCGCAAAUUCUGGUACCGACAUUGGCCGUAAUCACCUCUAUGCACUUGAUACUCACUAGGAAUCUGAGGCAUCUCUAGAUGUUUUUACUGGCAUACAGGUCAUGAGACGGAAAGAUGUGGAUUGAAGAUAAAAAGAUUCAAAAGGAGAAAAGAAGUUCAUCUGGAAGACCUGGAGAAGAAACAAGCCUCAGUUACCACGACCGCGGUUAGUCAAGACAGGUCAAUAUACCGCGAUUGCAAAUGAUGACCGCAUUCGCGGUAGCUGUAAUCACGGACAAGUGUUAGGGAUCACGGUCUAGUGGGUUUAAUGAUCAAGGGCAUUUUAGUCAAAAUAUGUAGCUGAUUACAAUUUCCCAUAUAAGGAAAAAUUCUUUUUUCCCUUAGGACAUUAUGUAAGAGAGGAGGAUAGAAUAAUUAGAAAAGAGGUGAACCCCAAAAUUUUCUGAAAUAUUUUUUUAGUUAAAAUUUAAAAUGGAAAUUGGUGAAAUUUAAGUGUAAAAUAAAGAUUUUCUUUAUCCUCCAUUGUUAUGGAUACCAUGAAUGAAUUGUUUGCUA